GUUGUAUGGUUAAGUGACUAAGCGUACACGGUGGAUGCCUUGGCAGUCAGAGGCGAUGAAAGACGUAGUAACUUGCGAUAAGCCCAGAUUAGGUAGUAACAACCAUUUGAGUCUGGGAUUUCUGAAUGGGGAAACCCACGUGCAUAAGCACGUAUCCUUACCUGAAUACAUAGGGUAAGGAGGCGAACCGGGGGAACUGAAACAUCUAAGUACCCCGAGGAAAAGAAAUCAACCGAGAUUCCGAAAGUAGCGGCGAGCGAAAUUGGACUAGCCCUUAAGCUUUACACGCGUUAGACGAACGGUCUGGAAAGUCCGACGAUACAGGGUGAUAGUCCCGUAGUUGACGACGUGUGUUCAGUGAAAUCGAGUAGGGCGGGACACGUGAUAUCCUGUCUGAAUAUGGGGGGACCAUCCUCCAAGGCUAAAUACUACUGACUGACCGAUAGUGAACCAGUACCGUGAGGGAAAGGCGAAAAGAACCCCUGUGAGGGGAGUGAAAUAGAACCUGAAACCGUGUACGUACAAGCAGUAGGAGCAGGCUUUGUCCUGUGACUGCGUACCUUUUGUAUAAUGGGUCAGCGACUUAUAUUCAGUGGCAAGGUUAACCAUCUAGGGGAGCCGUAGGGAAACCGAGUCUUAACUGGGCGUUCAGUCUCUGGAUAUAGACCCGAAACCAGGUGAUCUAGCCAUGGGCAGGUUGAAGGUUGAGUAACAUCAACUGGAGGACCGAACCGACUAAUGUUGAAAAAUUAGCGGAUGACUUGUGGCUAGGGGUGAAAGGCCAAUCAAACCUGGAGAUAGCUGGUUCUCCCCGAAAGCUAUUUAGGUAGCGCCUCGGACGAAUACUACUGGGGGUAGAGCACUGUUAAGGCUAGGGGGUCAUCCCGACUUACCAACCCUUUGCAAACUCCGAAUACCAGUAAGUACUAUCCGGGAGACACACGGCGGGUGCUAACGUCCGUCGUGGAGAGGGAAACAACCCAGACCGCCAGCUAAGGUCCCAAAUUACUACUAAGUGGGAAACGAUGUGGGAAGGCUCAGACAGCCAGGAUGUUGGCUUAGAAGCAGCCAUCAUUUAAAGAAAGCGUAAUAGCUCACUGGUCGAGUCGGCCUGCGCGGAAGAUGUAACGGGGCUAAGUAGUAAACCGAAGCUGCGGCAAUAUACUUUUGUAUAUUGGGUAGGGGAGCGUUCUGUAAGCGGUUGAAGGUGUGUGGUAACGCAUGCUGGACGUAUCAGAAGUGCGAAUGCUGACAUGAGUAACGAUAAAGGGGGUGAAAAACCUCCUCGCCGGAAGACCAAGGGUUCCUGUCCAACGUUAAUCGGGGCAGGGUAAGUCGACCCCUAAGGCGAGGCCGAAAGGCGUAGUCGAUGGGAAACGGGUUAAUAUUCCCGUACUUCUUACAAUUGCGAUGGGGGGACGGAGAAGGCUAGGUGGGCCUGGCGACGGUUGUCCAGGUUCAAGUGCGUAGGCUUAAGAGUUAGGUAAAUCCGGCUCUUUUUAAGGCUGAGACACGACGUCGAGCACCUACGGGUGUGAAGUCAUUGAUGCCAUGCUUCCAGGAAAAGCCUCUAAGCUUCAGAUUGUAAGGAAUCGUACCCCAAACCGACACAGGUGGUCGGGUAGAGAAUACCAAGGCGCUUGAGAGAACUCGGGUGAAGGAACUAGGCAAAAUGGUACCGUAA
rnacentral:rRNA from 1 species